AUUGAACGCUGGCGGCAUGCUUUACACAUGCAAGUCGAACGGCAGCGCGGGCUUCGGCCUGGCGGCGAGUGGCGAACGGGUGAGUAAUGCAUCAGAACGUGCCCAGUAGUGGGGGAUAGCCCGGCGAAAGCCGGAUUAAUACCGCAUACGACCUGAGGGUGAAAGCGGGGGACCGAAAGGCCUCGCGCUAUUGGAGCGGCCGAUGUCGGAUUAGCUAGUUGGUGGGGUAAAGGCUUACCAAGGCGACGAUCCGUAGCUGGUCUGAGAGGACGACCAGCCACACUGGGACUGAGACACGGCCCAGACUCCUACGGGAGGCAGCAGUGGGGAAUUUUGGACAAUGGGGGCAACCCUGAUCCAGCCAUGCCGCGUGCGGGAAGAAGGCCUUCGGGUUGUAAACCGCUUUUGUUCGGGAAGAAAUCCUCUGGGCUAAUACCCCGGGGGGAUGACGGUACCGGAAGAAUAAGCACCGGCUAACUACGUG
rnacentral:rRNA from 1 species